CCCUUUUAAAGUUUUUAUAAAUAGAAAGGAAGAGGGGGUUGGAGAUCUCGAAUGUGGUGAUGUUGGAGAGACCAAUGGAUUGUGAAGAUGUUGCAUAUGAGCAUGGAGUAAAUGAAGUGGUUAUGAAAUAAAUUCCAUGCUCAUUAAUGCUUAGAGUGAAAUCCAUGUGGUACGGUGAAAAUGAUAAGUUGAGUGUGGU
rnacentral:lncRNA from 1 species